rnacentral:rRNA from 1 species
CCUACGGGGUGCAGCAGUGAGGAAUAUUGGUCAAUGGACGAGAGUCUGAACCAGCCAAGUAGCGUGAAGGAUGACUGCCCUAUGGGUUGUAAACUUCUUUUAUAAAGGAAUAAAACGAGGCACGUGUGCCUUUUUGCAUGUACUUUAUGAAUAAGGAUCGGCUAACUCCGUGCCAGCAGCCGCGGUAAUACGGAGGAGCCGAGCGUUAUCCGGAUUUAUUGGGUUUAAAGGGAGCGUAGAUGGGUUGUUAAGUCAGUUGUGAAAGUUUGCGGCUCAACCGUAAAAUUGCAAUUGAUACUGGCAGUCUUGAGUACAGUUGAGGUAGGCGGAAUUCGUGGUGUAGCGGUGAAAUGCUUAGAUAUCACGAAGAACCCCGAUUGCGAAGGCAGCUUACUAAACUGUGACUGACAUUGAUGCUCGAAAGUGUGGGUAGCAAACAGGAUUAGAUACCCUAGUAGUC